rnacentral:tRNA from 1 species
AUGGUAAAAUUUCUCUUUGCCAAGGAGAAGAUGCGGGUUCGAUUCCCGCUAUCCGCCCAGGAUAAUGGGUA